rnacentral:lncRNA from 1 species
UAAUUAGCCAACUAAUCCAGGAUUAGUGAGAUUACUCAUCAAAUCGCGCGCAAAUCGGAUCAAUUCGACGAGGGCGACGCGAGGAACGAUUGAUCCCAAAGCACGGCUCGGGUUCGGGACCGGGAAACGGCCCAAAAGCGAGCCUAAAGCCGCUGGAAACCCAUUUCGUGGGUUGCUGGUUGGCUGCGAAACAGGGGAAAACAGAGAUGGUUAGGGGCGGAGAAGGCUUCGGGAGAGCGGGUAGUGCUCCGGGGAGGACCGGUGGAGGUCCGGCGGCUUCAAACGGCGACCGGAGGUGGCCGGACAUGGUGGAACGAAGGCUGAGCAGAGGCGAUUUCGCUCGGGGAAACGCCUGGCGCGAGGGACGGGGCUGGCGGCGCACGGCAGUGAGCGGCGCGCACACGGGCGCGGG